AAGACCUUGCGCUUUUGGAGCGGCCGAUGUCUGAUUAGCUUGUUGGUGAGGUAAAGGCUUACCAAGGCUUCGAUCAGUAGCUGGUCUGAGAGGACGGCCAGCCACACUGGGACUGAGACACGGCCCAGACUCCUACGGGAGGCAGCAGUGGGGAAUUUUGGACAAUGGGGGCAACCCUGAUCCAGCCAUGCCGCGUGAGUGAAGAAGGCCUUCGGGUUGUAAAGCUCUUUCAGCCGGAACGAAACGGUUACGGUUAAUACCCGUGACUACUGACGGUACCGGAAGAAGAAGCACCGGCUAACUACGUGCCGGCAGCCGCGGUAAUACGUAGGGUGCAAGCGUUAAUCGGAAUUACUGGGCGUAAAGCGUGCGCAGGUGGUUUUGUAAGUCAGAUGUGAAAUCCCCGGGCUUAACCUGGGAACU
rnacentral:rRNA from 1 species